UUAGGAGAAGCUUUAAGAAGCACUUGACUGUUAAUCAAGAGAAGCCUUAGGGCCUCCUGAU
rnacentral:tRNA from 1 species